rnacentral:rRNA from 1 species
UAUCUCUGUAGAGUCUGCAUAUCAAUAAGCGGAGGAAAAGAAACUAACAAGGAUUCCCUUAGUAACGGCGAGUGAAGCGGGAAGAGCUCAAAUUUGAAAUCUUCAAGGUUUUACCUUGACGAAUUGUAGUUUAAAGAAGUGUUUUCUGUUGAAGUUUUGGUAAAAGUUCUUUGGAAUAGGACAUCAUAGAGGGUGAGAAUCCCGUAUUUGACCAUUAUUUUCAGCUGUGUGAUACACUUUCAAAGAGUCGGAUUGUUUGGGAAUGCAGUCCAAAAUGGGUGGUAAAUUUCAUCUAAAGCUAAAUAUUGGCGAGAGACCGAUAGCGAACAAGUACCGUGAGGGAAAGAUGAAAAGAACUUUGAAAAGAGAGUUAAACAGUACGUGAAAUUGUCAAAAGGGAAGCGUUUGACACCAGUGUUGUUUUCUCGAAAAUCAAUUAAAAAGAGUUUGAUUUUGUUGUGUAUUGACCUUAACAGCUUGCAUUUCAAUUUUCUUGCUUUUUUUAAUGCACUUUUCGUUUAACAAGUCAACAUCAGUUUCUUUUGUUGUAAAAAGGUCAUUGGAAGGUGGCUUUCUUUUCGGAGAAAGUGUUUAUAGCCUUUGACUCCUGCAAUCGGAGAGACUGAGGUCUGCAGCGUAGAUCCUUCGGGGUUAGAUACAUUUGUGCUAAGUUAUAGCUUUUUCAUAGACAACUUGUUGACUAUGAUUAGUCAUGUCGCUUACUCGCUUAUGCUAUUUUACCUACGCUUAGGAUGUUGAAGAUAUGCGCGACACG